rnacentral:rRNA from 1 species
CCUACGGGAGGCAGCAGUGGGGAAUAUUGGGCAAUGGGCGCAAGCCUGACCCAGCAACGCCGCGUGAAGGAAGAAGGCUUUCGGGUUGUAAACUUCUUUUCUCAGGGACGAAGCAAGUGACGGUACCUGAGGAAUAAGCCACGGCUAACUACGUGCCAGCAGCCGCGGUAAUACGUAGGAUGCGAGCGUUAUCCGGAUUUAUUGGGUUUAAAGGGUGCGUAGGCGGAUUUUUAAGUCAGCGGUAAAAUGUCCGGGCUCAACCCGGGCCGGCCGUUGAAACUGGGGAUCUUGAGUGGGCGAGAAGUAUGCGGAAUGCGUGGUGUAGCGAUGAAAUGCAUAGAUAUCACGCAGAACUCCGAUUGCGAAGGCAGCAUACCGGCGCCCGACUGACGCUGAGGCACGAAAGCGUGGGGAUCGAACAGGAUUAGAUACCCGAGUAGUC